UACGUAGGGGGCUAGCGUUGUCCGGAAUCAUUGGGCGUAAAGCGCGCGUAGGCGGCCAGAUAAGUCCGGUGUGAAAGUCAAAGGCUCAACCUUUGAAUGCCGCUGGAAACUGUCUGGCUUGAGUCCGGAAGGGGCGAGUGGAAUUCCUGGUGUAGCGGUGAAAUGCGCAGAUAUCAGGAGGAACACCGGUGGCGAAGGCGGAUCUCUGGGCCAUUACUGACGCUGAGGAGCGAAAGCGUGGGGAGCGAACAGG
rnacentral:rRNA from 1 species